CAAGAACAGGAGUGCCACAAUCAGAUGCUAGCACUGGACAGCCAUUCUGGGUGCAGCAGGAGAGUGGAUGGGUGGGGUAAAGGAAUGACCCUUUGGCACACGAGGAGACAGGAGCUGGGCAAAGGUGUUAACAGUGGUCUGGGAAAGACAGUCAGCUUCAGGAGAGAGCAAUGAUGUGGACUUAAUGCCCCCUGAAGAUUGUCUGGAUGGGAGCUCUGUGGAUGGCUCCUGUAACUCCCCAGUGCAGGUGAUGCUGCUGGAUGGCUCAGCCUCCACCACUCGCCUGGCCCAGCCUGGUCUUCUUAGGGCUGCCUUCUCCAGAAGGCUAAGGCUGUGGCAGCCAGAAGCACCCCGGGGAUUCCAGCUGCAUCUCACCUGUCCCCCAGUAGGGCGACAAGAGGAGCCAGAAGGAGCCUUACCUCUCCCCAUGCCGGCCCACAGCAGAGCUCGGGCGGGUGAUGUGUCUGCCAAGGUCCACACUGAAACACUCUGCAGUGUGUGCUCCUCCCACACCCCAGGCAGGUGGUGCUGGUGACUGCUACUGUCUGCCUGGCACAUAUUCAUGCCUGGCACUAGGUUGGGCACUUCAAACAUCUUCCCUGCUAGGUGAGGUUUCUAAGAGAUGUCCCUGGGGAUCCUGUCCCCAGAUGGAUUCAAGAACAGAUCCUGAGGCCACGCAGCACAUUACAGCACUCCACCCAAAACGGACCGUCCUCUCCCAUUCUUUCCAGGUGCUAACACAUUACAGAUAACAAACCCAUGUCUCUAAAAUGUAAAUAUGGAAGGGACACAAACCCAACAAGAAAAGGGCUAACAUCCCAACAGGAAAAUAACUAAGGAAAUAAACAUGCUUCUUGAACAGUAAAAAGAUGCUCAACCUUACUCAUAAGAAGAUAUACAUUAAAACUAUGAUGAGAGGCCGGGUGCGGUGGCUCACGCCUGUAAUCCCAGCACUCUGGGAGGCCAAGACGGGUGGAUCACUUGAGGUCAGGAGUUCGAGACCAGCCUGGCCAACAUGGUGAA
rnacentral:lncRNA from 1 species